rnacentral:rRNA from 1 species
UACGAAGGGGGCUAGCGUUGCUCGGAAUCGCUGGGCGUAAAGCGCACGUAGGCGGCUUGUUAAGUCAGGGGCGAAAUCCUGGAGCUCAACUCCAGAACUGCCUUUGAUACUGGCGAGCUUGAGUUCGGGAGAGGUGAGUGGAACUGCGAGUGUAGAGGUGAAAUUCGUAGAUAUUCGCAAGAACACCAGUGGCGAAGGCGGCUCACUGGCCCGAUACUGACGCUGAGGUGCGAAAGCGUGGGGAGCAAACAGG